UUAAUUAAACCUUUGUUCAGGCAUUAGAUUCAGCACUUCCUGUGAUUUUAUGACCAACUUCAAAUUAAUAUUUAACACAAAUCCUUUCAGGCUUUUGGUAUGCGGUAGAAGCCUAUGUCCUUUUUCCCUCUGUUGUGCAGGGCACUAGAAACAUGCAAUCAGUCCAAUGCCUGACUCUCUAAGUUAGAAAGAGAAAGGACUGACUGAAUAAAAUAGGCAAAGAAGAGCUCUGCCAGGUAAAAACAGCUAAUGAAUUACAUCUAAAAAGAAAAUACUUAGACAAUUACAGUAUGUUUAAAGCUAAAUUCAGCUCAGCUUUGCCUGAACAAUGGGGCAGAGCCUUGGGAGAAAUGAGUGUGCCAAGAGGGACAUGGUGAUGCCUUGCAGCGAACACAAGCCAGACUCCCCCGGGAGGGAGAGGGGACACGUGGCACCAGCCAGAGCAGCCUGCACACUCUGGGCCUUGGGAGCAGCUACAUUUAUGACUUGUUUCAGCUGUUGCUGUAGAACUGGAAGAAGGAAUGGACACACGUAACUCCUGCAGAAGCUACAGCUCAAAAUCCACACAGGAACAUGAGAUGUCUUCCCUCUUCCCCAGCUGCUCACUUUUUGAAUAAAUUGCUCAGUGAAGGGCUCCUGGAGGUGCCUGCUCAACUGAGGAUGGAGUGAUCAGGAUGUGCCAUGCAAAACAGCCCUUGUAAGUGUGGGGGCAGGGACUCCGUGGGUAUCCAGGCAAGGGAUGUUGUGGCAUGGGGAUGUUGAGGCCACAUGACACAGAAAUAUCUUUCCGAAGUGGCUUGGGUAUAAUUGAUCAAUUUUGGGGCAUGGAAACAGAGAGGGUGAGCCCUGCUACCCUUUUUUCUUUACCUGCGUUGCCAUAUUCCUAAAAGAAUCUUGGGGGGAUUGUCCAUAUAAACCUAAAGAUUCAACAGUUAAAUACCAACACUGCUAUUCUAGCUAUUGUGGGUUUGAUGUUUUCCCUUAUCAUAGGCACAGUGUAAUUUCUAUAAUAUCCACAUAAAGUGGCCUGAAGCUCCAGAACUGACCUUCUGUGACUCUGAGUCAACAAAAAGUGAUCCUGCAGUCAUCAGGUAUCUGCUGGCCCACUCCACAGAGGCACCAACAUGAAGCAGUGUGCCUGGGGAGGAUAUCUGGUGGAUAUUCCAGCUGGCAUAAGACUGGAACCCCCCUUUCAUCUCUUCCUGAAGCAGGUUGAGUGCUGCUGUGUGCCAGACAUCCCUAUGGAGUGUUUUGUAGCUGAGACUGCUCUGCAAGUAGGACAAAUCAUGGUGGAACUUGUGCAGCCAGAGUCUCUCACCAGGGAUGGAUGAGCAACCUGUGGAACGCGGAAGGCAAAAGUGGGGAGUUAGCAUCAUCAUUUCCCCACUUCCCCACAUUCCCUUUUCCUGGGAGCUGGGCCCCUGACCCAGGCUGGCACUGAGGUUUUAUUGGUGUGAGACUGGAAUCCAGCUCAGACUGCAACUGCAGGGACUGCUCUUCACAAUUAGCUGAGAAGACUGGUCUCCAGAGGGACAAAGGGCUUCUCACCAGGACAAAGAGCUCUCCAAGUGUCAGCUCAAAAGCAAAUCCUAUCUAAGUUGAGAACAAAGAGACUGCUGAGACUGCUGGAUGGGUUAUGAUUUUUAAUACUCCAAAGACAUACCUUUCUGAAAAGAUUUUCAUUAAAAAAAAACCCAAAACCCACAAGUAUGAACAAAUCAUGAAGAUCCAGUCUUGGCCUGGAAAGAAAAGAGGUAGCAAGCAUGGCCCAGAAACUAUCCUAAAACCCCUGUGGCAAGCAAUAAUCUUGAAAAAGCCAGCGCAAGCUAUGUUUUCAAUUUAUAAAUUAAAUGUGUUUAAAAUUUAUGAACUUUGACUGUACGAGUAACUACUUCAUUAGACUUUAGGGCUGCAUGUUUCCUUGGCUUUUUUCACGGUAAAGUAAAACACAUUUCUAAUAAACAUGGAAAGAGAUUCCAAGCUAGAGUCACUACUUUUAUGUAAAGGGCCCUCCAGACUCAUUAAAAAAGUUUACCACCUAAAUAAAGCGAGCACAUUGUAAUUCUUCAACUCAUAAAGUUGGUAAUAUACAAAGAAUAUUGGCCUACUCUUACAUGUACACCGCUUGGCAUCAGUGAAUGACAUACAGUAAGGGGUUUACUAUGAGGAAAUUAGCAUAUAAAACUAUGUUUUGGUAAGUCUUAGGCUGAAAGACGAACUCGAGGAACAAGAGGGCGUAAGUUGGGCUCUGUUCUGAUUUGCUGAGUAAGCAUGGAAAGUUAUAUACAGAUACUGAGCCAAAAUCCCUCUGUUUUUCCUAGUUUAUAUCAACUGUUUAGUCCCCUUUGACAGUCAACAGUGGAAACAGGGAUGGUGUCUGCACCAAGCAUUGGCCCACAGCAUGAGGCUGUAGCUCAAACAUCUGGCACCAUCCUUUUCCCAGCAUUGGUGCAUCCACAGCUGGAGUUUUGGGACUUCUGCCUCAAGGGGGAUGUGAAAAAAACUGGAAAGAUCCAGCUAAGGGCUGCCACUAUGGUCCAGCAUCUGGAGUGCAGAUGCAGUGAGAGUGAGGUGGAAGGAGCUUGUUUUUCCCAGUGAAGGGAAACCCAAAGCAGAUCUCCUUGAAGAGCAGGUACAAAAAGGACAAAUCCAAACCCUUCUUGAUCAUGUCAGGGGACUUAACAAGGGGCAACAGGUACACGUGGCAGAUGGAGAUGUUCAGCUUGUUCUUUUACAUCAGAUGCUCCAGAGAGGUGAUGGUGGCUCCUUGCUUGGAGGCUUUUUAUGACUUAGCUAGAUAAGACUAAUUUAAUGUAUGGUGAUUGUGGUAGUCCUGUUUUGACUGAAGAUUUGGCUAGGUGAGCUCCAGCAGUCUCAUACAACCAACAUUCCUCUGAUUCUGCAGUUCUUUUUCCCAGAGCAACAGAGAAGCACGUCCCAAACCAUCAGCCAGCUCACCCGGCCAGAAGGAGAGGGCAGCUCUCCCUGGUGCCAUCUCCUGAGGGCUGACCUCAGCCUAGCACUUACAGGUGUGCACUAGCCUAUGCUGGGGUUCAGAACCAAGAUUGCAAACAAACCUGUCAGCCUGAGGUAGCCAGUGCCUUAAAGUCAUUGAUAUCUGACUUGCACGUGGUUGUGGAAGUCAGAUAUCAGUGUGACUUCCUUGCAGUAGUCACAGCUCAGUGUAUUUGUGGAUAUCAAAGCAGCACACUGGCAGAACCUUAGGUAUUCAAAACUCAUCUUUCAGCAAGAAGUCACUAUAUUUUCAAGUCUAGUGAUGAAAAACCCCUCAUUGACUUUUACUCUGCUUUAGCAGAUACU